rnacentral:sRNA from 1 species
GCUGGGUGUGGUGGUUCACAUCUGUAAUCCCAGUGACUUGGGAGGCUGAGGCAGGAGGAUUUAAGUUUGAGGCCAGUUUCAGCAACUCAGUGAGGUCCUCAGCAACUUAGUGAGAUCCUGUCUCAA